GUAAGAGGCANNGACGUGAUCCAGGCGAUGAAGGUGUUUGGAUUGUAAACCCCUUUUGGGAAGGUAGAUGGAAAGGGUAACCAUUGGGACGGUACCUCCAGAAGCAGCCACGGAUAAUUUUGUCCCCGCAGCCGCGAUAAUAAGAAGGUGGCNAGCGUUUUUGGGUUUCNGGGGGUAAACAGGGAGUGUAGGCGUUUGGGUAAGCCCUCCGAAAUAUCUCCGGUCNUAAUCCGAAAAGCGCAGAGGGGAGUGCUUGGCGAGUGGACGAGAGAGGAGCGGAGAAUUCCCGGUGGAGCGGAAAAUUGCGUAGAGAUCGGGAGGAAGCACGGUGGAGAAGGCGGCGCUGUGGAACGUUUCUGACGCUGAGGCUCGAAAGCGUGGGGAGCAACCNGGAUUAGNNNCCCUGGUUGUCCACGCNNNNAAUNAUGGAUAUUAAGGGUCGGCNGGUUACCGUUCGGNGCGC
rnacentral:rRNA from 1 species